ACUCAGACGCAUGGCUUGCGUCUCGUUCGCGCGCGUACGUAUGGCUGUGGUCCGCUUUUAGUUUUUGGCGAAUGCUUAUAGAAGCUUCAAGUUGCGGACACUGCGGUGGGCCAGGGCUUGAUGACAUUUGUUGCCCAGCUGCUGGUGCUACCGCGACGUACUUGGAGCAACGCUUCUGCUUAUUUCCUCUGCCUGCACCUUAUAUUUGUUGUGUUUAUUGAGACCUGGCCUGUCUCUGCCUCGUUGAAGACAAAUGGACACAAGUACUGGUCGCUGUUGGUUUGUUUGGUUUGCUCAGUCUGAGCGUGAUCUAUUUGUGAACUUCCCAAGCCACUUCACAACUGCAAGCUGAAUCUGAUGUAUGCUGUCUCAGGGUCAUGACCUAUAUUUGGGGGAAGACUAAGAAUGCAGCCUGUGACUGAAGUUUCAGUGUUUUGAGCCCACCAUUUCGAAAUGCUUUUUAUGUGCACUCAGUAGGAGACAGUUCUCCAAGCUUCUUGAUAUGAUUUUCAGUGAUACUAGAAGCAAAGCUUAUUAGUUGUAUUAUACUAAAUUUUCAUAUUUUCUCUAAUAUACUGUGGUCGCGAUAACACCACACUGCUUAAAAGGCAUAGAAAAUAAAAAAGCUACUUAUUUGCCCUAGUAUAAUGUAGAAAUCGGCAUUCUGCAGUCUGAAAAGUGAAAACAAAAACAUUAUCGUUGCAACAUUCACAACCACUUUAGCUGCUCAUAAAAUCAUUGAUGUACAUGUAAAGAGCCUCUAUGUUGUGUCUGUUAAAAACAUGCUCCAUCAUGCUGCAGCAUUAUGCACAUUAGCUUUGUGUAGAAGCCACAGCAGUUGCAAUGUGCUGCACCGCAAUGCACCUUGGUUAUGUGGAAAAGCUACCAUUGUUGCUAUGCUCUUUACUGUUAUACACGUCAACCUUGUGGCAAAGCCACUGCACUUGCAAUGUGCUGCACCUCAAAACGUUUCAGGUAUGUGGGAAUGCACACUUGCAUGCGCUAGAUUUGGGCAUUUUUAAUGCAAAUAAUUAUUUUUUCAUACCAAGCACUUUGCAGUAGGCAAUUUUACGUCCCGACUCGUUUCGGUCUUCUGCAUUGAAAACAAAAAUAUGUUACAGUGACCCCGAACCUGUUUCCCAGCAUAACAACCUGACACUCUAGCCAUUUGACCACUGUCGUGCACAUACUUCUUGCUCUCCAAUGCAUUGCUGUGUGUAUGGGAUAGUGGCACGUGUAUAACAGUGCAUAAUACAUGUCAGAGCAUGUGUGCAUAUACAAGUUGCUUAUCAAACUGUGAGCAUGUCAGUUUCUCCCAUUCUUCCUUUGUAGCUGGACUUCGAGGUGCUUUGUUAGAAUGCACCACCUUCGGGAUUCGCUCACAUUUCCAAGUCCCCCUCACUGUAGCAGCUAGCACAACAUGGACACUGUACCUUUAUGCUGUAAUGUUUCUUCACUGGAGUACAAAAAGGAAUUGUGUAGAUCCAACAUACAUGUUAAAAGUGGUUAAUGAGAAUCUAUGAAACAUUCAUAUUUAAUGCAUUGUUGCAAUCCAAAUGAUGGAAAGCGUAUUUGCGUUGGCAAGCUAGCAGUAGCAGAUGUCACAGGCAUGUUAUGCAGGGAAGCCACCUUAUCACCUAUAGCUGUUCUCUGUGCAGUGAGGAUGAAGGUGACAUGUGCUUGUUUAGUGAAGAACGUUGACAAGAGGUGUAUGCACAGAGACAUAUGACACUUAUCUUAAUACUACAUGUAAGGCUUGUAUACUUGUGUCGCAGCGACACAUACCUAUUCUAUGAGAUGGGCCUAGAAUAGGCACGUGCCCAUUUGCGCAUACUGCAUAAGCCAAGUUUUCCACUCGUCAAAACAGCUGCCACAACAGUGUUAGGAAAGAGGCAAAGAAACCAUGCCUUUGCAUUCAUACUCUCCUCACAAAGCUUGUGUCAUAUAUGCAAUCACUCGCCAUACACAAACACAUUGGUCAACACUGCAAUGUUUGGAAGAACCCAAACCAACGCUACAUAGCCAUUUACCUGCAACAUAAAUCCCGACUGUGUCUGGAAUCUACAUAAUGUUUCUUAAUUUUUCAGGCAUUUGGUGGUAGAGGCCAGCGCAUUAGACAGAAAUCCUUCUUGACUGCAGCAAUGUUCAGAAUGUAGUAUGAGGUACUCUGUCUAGCUGGAAGUUGAAGAUGGAAGUUAUAUUAGUAGUUAAAAUAUAGUAGCUAGUACUGAAACUACACAUGCAAUCAAGGCUGAGCCACAUGCAAACACGGAAGAGCAGACACACACGGUGGUCACUUGAGCUGGCAUUGUGUAGCUUUACCAACAAGCCCAGCUGGACACUGAAGUAAGGCAUGUUGUUGGGUUAGUCAGCUUGUAGCUUCAGCAAAAUUUUAAACUGUGUGAGGAAGACAGGACAUGAACAAAAGCAUAGAUGCAUGCGCAAAGUAUAGACUUCCGACUGGCUUUGUUUGGUGAAGGCAGAGAGUUUAUAAGGUUCUUCAAAAUGGCAAAACAAAAAACAUUCGCAAAGAAAUUGUGCAAGAGGCAGAUAUGAAAAAUAGCAAGGCCACCUGUGCAUUAAGAGUGCAGUAGAGUCCCAAGGUGCCCAUCUAAGAAUUCUAUUUCUUUCCUUGAUAGGUAUCAAGAAGGUGAGCUAACUUAGUUCUCACAAAUUUUAGCGAUGUGGAAUGCUUUGAUGACUUCUCUUUCUGCUUUUGAGCUUGCCUUCGAAAGGAAUUUAUUCUGUUCCAGAUGAGGCAGGCAGCUUUUGCUUUCGCAGCUCCUGCACUGCAAGAGGAGAUUCUCAAGGAAAUAAUUGCCUGCAUGUAAAAGAAGUUUCUGGAAGUUA